rnacentral:tRNA from 1 species
GAAGGUGUAGCUCAAGUGGUAGAGCACAUGCUUAACAUGCACAAGGUCCUGGGUUGAAUCCCCAGUACCUCCU